rnacentral:rRNA from 1 species
AUUGAACGCUGGCGGAAUGCUUUACACAUGCAAGUCGAACGGCAGCACGGGGGCAACCCUGGUGGCGAGUGGCGAACGGGUGAGUAACACAUCGGAACGCGUCCUGUAAUGGGGGAUAACCUGGCGAAAGCCAGGCUAAUACCGCAUACGUCCUGAGGGAGAAAGCGGGGGAUUGGAAACGACCUCGCGUUAUAGGAGUGGCCGAUGUCGGAUUAGCUAGUUGGUGGGGUAAAGGCCUACCAAGGCGACGAUCCGUAGCUGGUCUGAGAGGACGACCAGCCACACUGGGACUGAGACACGGCCCAGACUCCUACGGGAGGCAG